rnacentral:rRNA from 1 species
CACGUAGGGUGCAAGCGUUGUCCGGAAUCAUUGGGCGUAAAGAGCUCGUAGGCGGCUUAGUAAGUCGGGUGUGAAAACUCUAAGCUCAACCUAGAGACGCCACCCGAUACUGCUAUAGCUAGAAUCCAGUAGGGGAGUGUGGAAUUCCCAGUGUAGCGGUGAAAUGCGCAGAUAUUGGGAGGAACACCAGCGGCGAAGGCGGCACUCUGGGCUGGUAUUGACGCUGAGGAGCGAAAGCGUGGGUAGCGAACAGG